UUCUAUUUAGCACAAUUAUUUUUCAAUUCUGUCAAUUGUCCAUGCUUAACUAUAUUUUAAUUUUUAGAGAUAUUUCAACAUCGAAGACAAUCCCGUAGGGUGGGAAUUUUUAUUUGGAUACCAGGGAAAGUUCAAGCAUUCUCUUCGGGAGUGGAGACAUGAGAUAAAGAAGAAAUGCUUUGAUUGUUUCACUCACAACUGGGAGAGGAUAUACAAGCGAGAUAAGAGGGUUGAGCCUGAGCACUUAGCUGCACUUAUAAUAUUGUGGGGCCAAGAGGAGCACCAGGAAAAAUGUCGGAGAAAUAAACUUAAUCGAUGGAAAAAAGAUUAUGAUCAUCAUACGGGGACUACUUCAUUUGCCCAGAUUGAGGAUCAAUUUUGUAGGACAACGAACGCUCCCUUUAUCCCGCUACCAGAACUGCACAGGAGAACGAUGGUUCAAUUUAAGAAGGGGUAUGAUGACGAUGAGAAUAAAAAACAAAAGCUAGAAUUGGCCAAGAAAAUGCAGGUUAACUAAUUAUCUUAGCUCUU